GGCCAGGUGUCCGAGCGGUUAGGAAGAGGUCUGCAAAACCUCGUACAGGAGUUCGACUCUCCUCCUGGCCUCCA
rnacentral:tRNA from 3 species